AUGGACGCAAGUCUGACGGAGCAACGCCGCGUGAGUGAAGAAGGCUUUCGGGUCGUAAAACUCUGUUGUUGGAGAAGAAUGGUCGGCAGAGUAACUGUUGUCGGCGUGACGGUAUCCAACCAGAAAGCCACGGCUAACUACGUGCCAGCAGCCGCGGUAAUACGUAGGUGGCAAGCGUUAUCCGGACUUAUUGGGCGUAAAGCGAGCGCAGGCGGUUUUUUAAGUCUGAUGUGAAAGCCCUCGGCUUAACCGAGGAAGCGCAUCGGAAACUGGGAAACUUGAGUGCAGAAGAGGACAGUGGAACUCCAUGUGUAGCGGUGAAAUGCGUAGAUAUAUGGAAGAACACCAGUGGCGAAGGCGGCUGUCUGGUCUGUAACUGACGCUGAGGCUCGAAAGCAUGGGUAGCGAACAUGAUUAGAUACCCUGGUAGUCCAUGCCGUAAACGAUGAAUGCUAGGUGUUGGAGGGUUUCCGCCCUUCAGUGCCGCAGCUAACGCAUUAAGCAUUCCGCCUGGGGAGUACGACCGCAAGGUUGAAACUCAAAGGAAUUGACGGGGGCCCGCACAAGCGGUGGAGCAUGUGGUUUAAU
rnacentral:rRNA from 2 species